CCAGGUCAGGCUGCUGCAGCAGCAGGCAGUGUGUCUGGGCACCACCUGCCGCAGUGAUAAAGGAGGGUCGUCCAGGGGUUUCACUGCUGCCCCUGAAGGGCAUGUUGGCCACUGAAGAGACCCAGGGAAGUUGGCCACUCGGUCUACCUGGAUGACCCCUGCAAGGGCCUCCUGGCUUGGCCGUGCCCUCCCGGACUCCGUGCAGGCCCUCUGCGCUGGCCCUCUGUGCACUGCCUCACCGUCUCAGCCUGAUGCGUGCUCUCCUGGUCAUUGCGGCAGCCCGCUGCUCAGCUGGCCAUGCACCACCUCCCCCGGGAGGAGUAGGCCACAGCGGGGGCCAUCCAUCCCCAGCCACAGCCCCCUGUCCUACCCCAACAAUUGUCCCCUGUGCCCACAAGGGGCAGGAUGCUGCCCUGGGCCGUGCUCUCCUGCCCCCCACACCUGCCUCCACCUGCCUGCACAAGCAGCCUCAUCUGGAGAGGCACAGCACCCCUUGGCUCUGGGGUGAGCAGAGCUGAGCCCCAGGUGCACACGCCCCCACGGGGAGCAGGGCAGGCAGCCCUUCUCCACGCCUUCCAAAGCCCAGGGCAGUGCCCCAGGGCAAGGCUGCAUUUCCAACCUUGGGCCACCCACAGGCCAUAGCCCCUCUCCACCUCGGCAUCGGGCUCCCGUGCCUGACCCUGGGCACCGGCCACCAGCCUCCUCAGCCGUCGGUGGGGUUUCAGACUCCCUUGCACCUGGGCUGCACCCACCUGGCCAUCUGCCUCCGAGCAACCAGGAGGGCCAGGAGGCGGGGAGCAGUGUGGGUGACUCGGGGCCACACCCGCCAACCCCCACGUGACUGCCCUGGGCACCCUCUGCCCGGC
rnacentral:lncRNA from 1 species